ensembl:ncRNA lncRNA:CR44300 long non-coding RNA:CR44300
AGCCUGUUUGCUUAGCCCUCCAAGAGCAGGCAGCUGGAAUCGCUCGGAAGAUAAACACUGAGGCCGGAGCUACCGAGUUCUAAGCGGCGCAGCAUCUUUCAAUGGCAGCGACUGCAAUCAGCAGGCAGUGCGUCGUCCUCUUUGUCAGGGAUAAACAGAGUCCUUGCGGAGGAGGAUAGCAUCGCAUGGGGAUCUCUCUAGAAACUGUCCAAACCAAAAGCACAUCGAGCAAAUCAGAGUGGUGGCUGCUAAAACGCUUGAAAAUGGAAUGUGCGAAUAUAAAAAGCAUUUACUACUGCCUUUUUUGAAUAAC